AUUGAACGCUGGCGGCAGGCUUAACACAUGCAAGUCGAGCGAGCGGCGGACGUGUGAGUAAUGUCUGGGAAACUGCCUGAUGGAGGGGGUUAACUACUGGAAACGGUAGCUAAUACCGCAUACCAUCAGAUGUUCCCAGAUGGGCUUAGCUAGUUGGUGGGGUAAAGGGUCACCGAGGCGACGAUCCCUAGCUGGUCUGAGAGGAUGACCAGCCACACUGGAACUGAGACACGGUCCAGACUCCGAUGAGAGGCAGCAGUGGGGAAUAGGGGACAAUGGGCACAAGCCUGAUGCAGCCAUGCCGCGUGUAUGAAGAAGGCCUUCGGGUUGUAAGGUACUUUCAGCGGGGAGGCGUGACCCGCAGAAGAAGCACCGGCUAACUCCGUGCCAGCAGCCGCGGUAAUUC
rnacentral:rRNA from 1 species